ensembl:lncRNA
CCUCCCAUGAGUCCCUGGGCGGCCGUGGGGUCAAAGGUCUCGUCGGCGAGAGUGUCGGGGGACGGGUGCCCAGGCGACGCUUGUCCUACUUAGUAACGGCCCCCAAGCACCGGAGGAGCUUGGCCGGCGGUUCUGGGGCGCGGGAGAGGGGACCCAACUGCUUCCUUUAAGGAAAAGGCGCCCGUCCGGGGCUUGGGGAGCAAAGGAGUGACGCGGCGCCGAGGUCGCGGGGAGCCGCCCUAAGAGCGCACCUGCCGACCUGACACCGGGACGCAGGAGGAGGACACGCCUGCUGGGCACACCUCAGACCCGAAAGUUACAGCCCAGCGGAAGGCAGCAAAGCCGCCUUCUGUUUUGUGAGCAGAGUCGCUGCUGAGGUCACCUGCCCUGAAAGGGGGAUGGAGCAUCAAGCUGUCCCCAGUAAUUACAGCCGGAGUCAGGGGCAGAAGGCGCACUCGGGAACCCCCUGUGUCACAUUCCUGGUGCUUCCGCACGUUCAUGCACAGAGACGUCAAAGACGCCUGCAUCCCACACAACUAAAGCCGGCGUCGGUGCCCAGAGGAAACGUGAUGUCUUUGCUGAAGAUGAAGAUUCCCCUACAGCCCUGUUUGCUCCAAACACAGCUCUUCCUGGCCAAGGUUCUAUAGUUCUCCAAUUUUACGUGUUGCCCUUGGACAUUGAAAACAAUCGUUUUCCGUGCAAAGAAACCCGGUCUUGGAGAGUUUGAGUGACAUGCCCAAGGCCGUGCAGUUCAUUUGGUCUGGAAGGCACUUCUCAGCAGCCAUGCUGAAGAGGACAGGGACAGGCUGACACCCGUUCAGAGGACAGUGAUGUGGCCACCACGCAGAGCAGCUCCCUCCGCGUGACUCGCGGUUGAAGGCCCAGAACGCCCUGUGCGGGGAGGUGACAGAUGCUGUUUCCGCAGCCCCGCCGUCUCAGGAAGAGGGAGGCCACCGCUUGCCACGAUGAGUUGAAAUGAAUCCAGCUACACGGAGCUGGAAGAAGACCUUUCUUGGGUGCCUUUUCAGUUAUGAGGAAGGAUAUUCUGAUGUGAAGAGCUGUCUAGAGACGGCCCGGGGUGCUUCUGGACAAGGGGGCCUCUAACUUCUCCAUUUACAAAAGAACUCGUUCGUUUUGCAAACUUGCUGAAGGUUGCUGGCUGUACACGGGUCCAGCAGUCAUGGCUCCCAAGACCAAAGGCCGGAUGGCGCUCCUAGGCUGCCCCUGAACUGCUUGUGGCUUCUGGUCCGAAGAGCUUACAGCAUUGUUUGCCAUCCACUUGUUCCAAGAUCCAGGCACUGCUGAAACCAUAGCCCAAGGACACUUCCAAGAACUAGACAAAAGGCAGCGCUGUGUCACCUCCAGUCCUAAGGCCGCUGAUGGAGGAGUGAAGGCAGAACCAGGACGGCGUGGGGAGGUCAGGAAAGUGAAAUCUCCAUCGGCUGCUACGGCAGAUGAAUCGGGAACGGAUAAAACCCAUUGAUCACGAAUGAGGGGUUCAGAAAAUCUGUGUUUUUAGAUACGCGGAGGUCGCUGCCCGAAGCAGCUGCCUGCAGAGUUCAGAGCAGCUGCCUCUUGAGGAGUGGAGCUGGGUGGGGAGUGCGGGCGGCAGGGCGGUCUUGCUUUCAGUUUUAAGUGCUUCUUGUU